rnacentral:lncRNA from 1 species
UAAAAUGAUACAGCUCUCCAUAACUGCAAUCUCUUUCUUUGUAUAUGAGUUUUUAAUUUCUUGUAACUGACCUUGACACAGAGUCAUUUGUCUGCAACCAUAUUUGAAAUCUAGACGGUCUUGACUGGUGUGAAUCCAAGAUAAAGGGAUCUGAAUAUGUGAUGGAUAUUUUUGGCUUACCCCUGCUCUUUGCUGUCCUACAAGUCCAGCAGUGCUGGUGCUUGGGGGAAGGAGUUUCACCCACAAUCAAAGAGCUCAGAUACUCCAUCUCUCAGGAUGCAGGACCCUUCAUGAUGACAGCCUCAACUUCAAGAUCAGUUUAA